UGCAUAUGUAUGAGCUCAAAUUCACCAAGGACUCCCAAUCCCUGUUCUGAGCACGCUGCCACGGCGACGCUUCCCGCCGCCUUCUCGGACCUGUUACCUCACUUCUUGGUAGAGCCGGAGGACGAGUACAUCGUAAAGAACAAGCCGGUGACUCUGACCUGCCGCUCCACCCCGGCCACGCAGAUCUACUUCAAAUGCAACGGCGAGUGGGUUCACCAAGAUGACCACUUGAUUGAACGGACUGUUGACCCAGCAACAGCGCUGCCAGUCAUGCAGGUGACAAUCGAAAUAACCAGGCAGCAGGUGGAGAAGAUCUUCGGACUUGAUGAGUACUGGUGUCAGUGUGUCGCCUGGAGCACCACCGGAACCCAGAAGAGCCAGAAAGCAUACAUCAGGAUUGCUUACCUGAGAAAGAACUUUGAGGAGGAGCCGCAGGGUAAAGAGGUGGCAUUGGACCAGGAGGUGUUGCUGCGCUGCCAUCCCCCCGAGGGAGUGCCACAAGCCGAGGUGGAGUGGCAGAGAAACGAGGAUGUGAUCGACCCAGCGAGUGACCCCAAUUUUGUCAUCACGCCCGACCAUAAUCUCGUCAUCAAAAAAGCCCGGCUGGCCGACACCGGCAACUACACGUGCGUGGCCAAAAACAUCGUCGCUCGCCGCAAAAGCACCUCUGCCGCGAUCCUUGUCUAUGUCAACGGUGGCUGGUCCACGUGGACCACCUGGUCGUCCUGCAGUGCCGUGUGUGGGCGUGGCUGGCAGAAGAGGAGUCGGAGCUGCACCAACCCCACGCCACUGAAUGGAGGCACAUCCUGUGAGGGGCAGAACGUCCAGAAAAGUGCCUGUGUGGCCACCUGUCCAGUGGACGGAGGCUGGAGCGAGUGGAGCAAGUGGUCAGCAUGUGGCGCAGACUGUUCGAUGUGGAGGAGCAGAGAGUGCACCCAGCCCUCACCUGGCACAGGGGGCAAAGACUGCCAGGGGCUUGAUCUCCAGUCUCUCAACUGUACCAGCGAGCAGUGUCCACAGACCGUGAGCGGAGCCGAGGACGUGGCGCUCUAUGUGGGCAUGGUGGCCGUGGCCCUGUGUCUGACCCUGCUGCUCAUUGUGGUCGUCCUGGUCUACAGGCGCAAGAAGGAAGGCCUGGAUGCCGACGUGGCCGACUCCUCCAUCCUCACCACUGGCUUCCAGCCCAUGGGCAUCAAGCCCAGCAAGCCAGGUAACUCCCAUUUACUCACCAUCCAGCCUGAUCUAACCACCACCACCACCAGUUAUCAAGGCACCCUGCGCUCUCGCCACGAUGCCACCGGGAAGUUUUCGAUGACCAACGGGCCUCUGCUGGACCCGCUUCCCAACGGCUCACACACCUUGCACAACGGCAAGCUCAACUCUGAUGCUGCUGCCGAGUUUGUGAGCAGGCUCUCCACCCAGAGCUACUUUAAAACGCUGCCCCGCGACGUGGCCAACACCUCCUACGGGACCUUCAACUUCCUAGGCGGCAGGCUGACUAUCCCCAACACAGGAAUCAGUCUGCUCAUUCCUCCCGAGGCCAUCCCCAGAGGAAAGAUCUAUGAGAUUUAUCUCACUGUUCAGAGGAAGGAAGAUUUAAGGUUACCCCUGGCUGGCUGCCAGACCCUCCUCAGCCCCAUUGUGAGUUGUGGCCCUCCGGGGGUGGUCCUGAGCCGGCCAGUUAUCCUCAGCAUGGACCACUGCUUUGAUGCAUGCCUGGAUAACUGGGCCGUGCGCCUUAAGAAGCAGAACUAUGAGGGCGCUUGGGAGGACGUCCUGUUGAUGGGAGAGGAGCUGGUGUCAGACCCUUAUUACUGCCAGCUCGAGGCCGAGACGUGCCGGCUCUUCUCGGAGCAGCUGGGUACAUUCGCCCUGGUGGGCGAGUCCCUGCACAUGGGCGCCGCCAAGCGCCUGAGGCUGGUGCUCUUCUCGGACGCUUACUGCUCCACGCUGGAGUACAACAUCAGGGUAUACUGUGAUGCAGAUGGAGCGGCAGCUCGGGGUCGGCUGAUUGACGAGCCUCACGUCCUGCUUUUCAAAGACAGCUACCACAACCUGCGCCUGUCCAUCCAUGACAUGCCCCAGGCGCACUGGAGGAGCAAGCUGCUAGCCGGCUACCAGGAGAUCCCAUUCUACCACAUCUGGAACGGUUCCCAGCGGUACCUGCACUGCACGUUCACUCUGGAGCGGCUCAGCCUCAGCACCUGCGAGCUCACCUGCCAGCUGUGUGUGUGGCAGGUGGAGGGGGAGGGACAGAGCUUUAGCCUGGACUUUAACAUUGCCAAGGACACUCGAGCGUUGGACUCUGAGUUUCUGUUAAUGGACAGUAACGCCACAGCUCUGGCGGGACCCAGCGCCUUUCAGAUCCCGUACCUCAUCAGGCAGAAGAUCUGCAGCAGCCUGGAUGCCCCCUGUCCCAACGGAGCCGACUGGAGAAUGCUAGCACAAAGACUUAAACUCGAGAGACACAUGAGUUUCCUUGCAUCCAAAGCGAGCCCAACCUCUGUGAUCCUGGACCUAUGGGAGGCGCAACAUUUCCACAGCGGCAACAUCAACCAGCUGGCCACGGUCAUGGCCGACAUCGGCAAACAGGAAGCCAUGAUAUUCCUGGUCUCCGAUGGCGAGUGCUAA
ensembl:lncRNA